rnacentral:rRNA from 1 species
AGUGAACGCUGGCGGUAGGCCUAACACAUGCAAGUCGAACGGCAGCACAGUAAGAGCUUGCUCUUACGGGUGGCGAGUGGCGGACGGGUGAGGAAUACAUCGGAAUCUACUUUUUCGUGGGGGAUAACGUAGGGAAACUUACGCUAAUACCGCAUACGACCUACGGGUGAAAGCAGGGGAUCUUCGGACCUUGCACGAUUGAAUGAGCCGAUGUCGGAUUAGCUAGUUGGCGGGGUAAAGGGCCACCAAGGCGACGAUCCGUAGCUGGUCUGAGAGGAUGAUCAGCCACACUGGAACUGAGACACGGUCCAGACUCCUACGGGAGGCAGCAGUGGGGAAUAUUGGACAAUGGGCGCAAGCCUGAUCCAGCCAUACCGCGUGGGUGAAGAAGGCCUUCGGGUUGUAAAGCCCUUUUGUUGGGAAAGAAAAGCAGCAGGUUAAUACCCCGCUGUUCUGACGGUACCCAAAGAAUAAGCACCGGCUAACUUCGUG